CAGCAGUUCUCAGAGAAGAUGGGCACUUUCUGGAAAUUCGGUGGACAUUCACACAUGUUGAAUACACGCAGUCUGUGUACUUUAGUUCCUGGGUGUGCACAUGAGCUGCAGCAAUCCCCUGUUCAUCCUGUGCCAUCAGGAAAGAACACCUGCUUUUUAAUACCACACAGGUCCAGUAAUGGACCUGCCAAAUACAGAUUGCUGGCACUUGCUGCCAGCUAGGCCAGCCGCUCUGCUCCCUUCAUGGUCUUUUUCUCUGCUUAACAGGAGAGGAGGAGCCCUGCAACCUUCAGUGCUGCUCCCCAGGCCUGAGAGCCACCUCUCCUGGCAGAGGCAGCUCAUGCCUGAGGGUCCCAGAGCCUGCUGCCCUUCCCAUUUUCGGAGACAAACUAGCCCAGAAAACACUGAUUUUUGUUGUUGUUGUUGUUUUGUUUUUUUUAUGUGUGGGGUGCAAGUUUAAAGGCAAACUGCAGCUUUGCCCAUAACGCCACUGCAGCUGAUUAUACCUUGUUCACUGUAAGGUUAAUUCCAAUGGAAAAUGACCUGCUUCGUGGAGCCUGGGCUGUGUGUGCCCUUCUGACAUCUCAUAUGGCACAAGGUUCUUGUCUUCUGUUCCUAAAUCAUCGGAUGGUUGCCAGAUGAAAGAAGUAUGGAUGUACCUAUGUUCCAAAUGAUAUAAUCUAGGGCUACAAACACUGCUCAAAUAAUCACAGCUAAAUCCACAACAGUAGUUUAACUGAAGCAGAGUUCUUCUGUGUGGUUCUUGUUCAUCUGCAAAGGAGCUGUGCAAAAUAGGGUUAACUUGAAGAGGGACAUGUUUUGUAUUGAGAACUACUGUAAAAAACAGAUGGUCUUAAGAAGCAAGACAGAAGGCAAGAGCCUAAACUUCAGUGAGGGAAAGGUGUCUACCUUUUGUCCACCGACACCUAAUAAAACAGCCUCAGCGCGGAUUUUAAAACUACAGUGUUGCUGAUGGAGAUGGUCCUCCACUCUCCUUGGGUCUCUGCGGCUCCUCCUCUCAGACAAAGUCUGCAUCUUUUAUGUGUUAAUGGUUUUGACAUCGACCAUUUGCCUCAUUUUCAUUUUAAGCGAUGGGCAGAGUCUUCCUGCCUUUCUUCUCUGUUCUCCGAGUGCCGCACCCACUGUGAGCCGGCUCAUCAGCCUGAAAGAUGUGCGCCCGCGGUAUGUCAUGGAUGUGGCGGCCAAGGACGGGCAGCUGCUCUGCUCCGUGGUGCCGACCCUCGCCACGCAGAGGUAGGGAACGCGGGGAGCGAGCGGCGGCUGCGGGCGGGGAGCGGGGUCCUGGGCUUCGGCGAGACGCGACCCGUCGCGCCGCUGCGGAGCUGCUCACUGGUGCUGCGUGAGUGACCCGGAGGCUCGAAAGGGCUGUUCCCCCUUUACUUGCAAUAACUUUUUCAAAGCCCGUGGCUCUAAACGUUCCCGUGCCGCUGUGCUCCCUGAAAAGAGAUUCUUCCCUAUUGCAGUUGGGUACGUUCGGAGUCUGUAGGUUUUCUCUAGAAGGAGCAGCACACUUUGCACACAGAAUCACAGAAUGGCUUAAGCUGAAAGGGACCUUUAAGCCCAUCCAGUCGGCAGGGCUGCCACCCAUCAGACGAGGCUGUCUGUUCCGUUCAACCUGGCCCCGAGUGCCUUCAGGGAUGGGGCACCCACAGCUUCUCUGGGAUGCCGAGAGAGAAUGCAGGAGAAAUGGCAGUGGGAGGAAAGUGCUGGACACGGCACUCCAUUCCCAGGCUGCUCUUAUUUAUUCUCAGGCAACAGGUGAGGGAUUGUCCUGAGGAACAGGGAGUGUCUGUGCCCUCACUGAAGAUGAAGCGGCUCCCUCAUCCCUCAGGACUCUCUCACCUGCCAGCGCUGUAUGUUUGUUUUUCUUCCUUCCUUAACCUCACAAGAGAGACACUGUGAUUAAGUAUAUGCUGUACCGAUGCACUGACCACAGAGCAAAGCAUGCACCCUGCAGACAUUUCCUGCGUUGUGAACUGGUGGCAUCAUAUCACACCUCUGGGCAGAUAGAAGAAGACCCCCGAGGGCAUUGGUGCAGGAUGAAGGGUGUGCCACUGACAUACUGCUGGGAGGACUAAUGGGGAGCCAGGGGCACACUGCAUCUGAGGAGCAGAUAAUAAGCCAAACAGAGGAAGCUUUAGUUCAGCAUAAAUUGACUUGAUAUGCUGCACAUUGUCUGUACCUUCUCUCACAGCGCUACUCAGUCUCCUGCUCCAAUAAGGGGGAAAUGAGCACAGGAGAAUGGCAGAAACUGAAGAAUAAUUCUGACACAGGAACAAGUGGCUGUUAAAAAGUUUAGGCUGUGUUUUUGAGUGGUUUCUACUUGCCAGAGAAAGGUCAUGGAACA
rnacentral:lncRNA from 1 species